rnacentral:rRNA from 1 species
AGGAAAUAGAUACCCGGGUACGUCCACGCCCUAAACUAUAGUCAACUAGUUAGUCGGGUCUUAUUUGGGCUUGGUAAACGUAGCUAAACGCGUGAAAGUUGACCGCCUGGGGAGUACGGUCGCAAGAUUAAAACUCAAAGGAAUUGACGGGGACCCGCACAAGCGGUGGAUUAUGUGGAUUAAUUCGAUGCAACGCGAAAAACCUUACCUACCCUUGACAUGUCAGAAAGUUUCCAGAGAUGGAAUCGUGCUCGAAAGAGAAUUUGAACACAGGUGCUGCAUGGCUGUCGUCAGCUCGUGUCGUGAGAUGUUGGGUUAAGUCCCGCAACGAGCGCAACCCUUGUCAUUAAUUGCCAUCAUUUAGUUGGGCACUUUAAUGAGACUGCCGGUGAUAAACCGGAGGAAGGUGGGGAUGACGUCAAGUCCUCAUGGCCCUUAUGGGUAGGGCUUCACACGUAAUACAAUGGCGCGUACAGAGGGUUGCCAACUCGCGAG